rnacentral:lncRNA from 1 species
GAAAAUAUAAACCAAGAAAAUUUGUUGAAAUCAAAAGGAAGUUCUUAAAACAUCAAAUCUGAAUUUCGACAUUUACAAGUGUAUGACAUCAACAUUUGAGAAAUAUAAAUUCUAAGCAGAAAAAUGUCUUCAUUUAGAAAAGGUUUAAUGAUGCGAUCCGUCUUGCCAAAGUCUCUCGUCUUCUUGAAAGGAUGCCUGAGAAUGGAAAGUCAUGGAAGGGAGGGCCUGUAACAAAAAAAUGAAAAUUAAUUCCAUAUUGGCAAGAAAAUUGAAAUCACAAAAAACAUGUGAUCGCCUUUGAAUUCCAAUCUCUUCAUACAAUACUAGAUGUCUACAAAUGUCUUCUCUAUAUUUCAGUAAGAAGUUUUAUAGUAUUCGUGAUUAGGAUGCCAUAGUGUUACUGUACCGACCCAAGUAGGCUAUAUUGGCUCAAUAACUUGAAUGGAGCAGGCCUAUUGACAUGGUAAAUAAAUGCUUAAAGUCCAAGUUACUAGUAGUAGCCUGUGUGGUUAAUUAUGUACCAGACUUCUAAUUCUACGUCACAGUUACCCAGUUGAUUGCAUAUGAUGCAAAGCAUGUACCGCGGCAAUCAACUAACCUAAAGUCAAUUCUAUUGAGAUAUUAACAAAAAAUUAGGGACGAUUUUGAGCAACUAAAAAUGCAUAUCAGAACUUACCUUCUUGUUCACCUAGAAUGUAAACGGAAUAUCAACAAUCAUUUUUGUGGCGCCUUCGUUCCAAUUAACAGUGCCAAGGUUCUGCAUAUAUCUGUGUGAAGGUCGUGAUGGCCCCAAGAUUGACAAGCAUAUUGUGUGUUCAUUCAUUAAACCCAAAUAAUCACAAGUGCACCUCCAGACCCUCCCGUCCGAGAUUCGAGAACGUGCCACCUGCUAUGCAAAUCCAAUUUAACUUGUGCAGGCAAAAUUAUGUAUUGAACAUUAUGUGAGAGAUAUAAUCACAUAUCAUCACUCUUACGAAAUUUCUAGAAUUGUAUGCCCUCACAAAUAUUUUGCAUUCUGUUUCCAGCCCAGCCCAGAUUAUUUUUUUUUUGGUAAUGAUGUAGGUUUUAGGAUGAUGUGGGUUUUAGGUCUCUGUCCUUGACGGUAAAUUCAUUAACGGACAGAUGCUUGAUAAAUGUUUUUGCAUUUUUUGGGGUGCACUGAGACCAAUUUGGUUCGCAUUUAGAAGCUCCACUAUUUUUCUGUCAAAGAGUCAAGUAAAAUGAAAAGGCUAACCUUGGCCAAGGAUACCCGGGCCCUCGGGAGUAAUUCUCGAUGAUGCGUGGCAAGCUUUGCUAUUGCUGUCACAACAAAACAUAGAAGUCUUGACUGUGAUGAUUUUCUGGAACUCCCAGAGCUAAGAGAUGACUCCCUUAGACCCAGAUGAUUUCCAAACAAAAAGCAAAAGAAAAGAUAAAAGUCAGCAAACAACAGAAAGCACCAUUAAGC